rnacentral:tRNA from 1 species
CCCGCUAUAGCUCAAUUGCGCAGAGCGGCAGGCUUUCAAUCCUGACCGGUUCCGGUUCGAGUCCGGAUAGCGGGU